rnacentral:lncRNA from 1 species
CUAGGAGACGAAUCGCGGGGUCUCACCAUUCCUAGGCUGCCAGCUCCAACAAUUUCUCCGCGGCGACGACAGGAGCCGCAGGGCCAAAGCCGGCUUCCGUGAGACACAUCUACUUCCGGGUUGCGAACGAAGGGUUGGAGGAUCUUUUCCGGUUCGUCCUGGACGCAUUUUUGACCACUUGAUACAAGGGAGAGUUAUUUGGGAAGAAGCUCAACGGAGAAAAUGCCUCCAUCAGAGUGGCCUGUGGGCAGGUCUGUGAGCCUGAUUUUCCUGAUUCCUGAUUGCCAUGGGAGGGCCCCAUCC